GGGGGGGUAGUGUAGUAGUUAAGCACCUAGAAGACGCCGUAACGCCGCGACGUCGUGGGUUCGAAUCCCACCCCUUCCA
rnacentral:tRNA from 1 species